AUACGGAGGAUGCAAGCGUUAUCCGGAUUUAUUGGGUUUAAAGGGUGCGUAGGCGGUUUGCUAAGCGGGAGGUGAAAUGCCGGCGCUCAACGUCGGAAGUGCCUCCCGAACUGGUGGACUUGAAUGACUCUGCCGUGGGAGGAAUGUGUAGUGUAGCGGUGAAAUGCUUAGAGAUUACACAGAACACCGAUUGCGAAGGCAUCUCACGAAGGGUUGAUUGACGCUGAGGCACGAAAGCGUGGGGAUCAAACAGGAUUAGAUACCCUGGUAGCCCACGCAGUAAACGAUGAUGGCUAACCGCUGGGCUUAUCAGUUCAGUGGCCAAGCGAAAGCGAUAAGCCAUCCACCUGGGGAGUACGACCGCAAGGUUGAAACUCAAAUGAAUUGACGGGG
rnacentral:rRNA from 1 species